rnacentral:rRNA from 1 species
AUGGAAGGCAGCAGUGGGGAAUAUUGCACAAUGGGCGAAAGCCUGAUGCAGCGACGCCGCGUGAGCGAAGAAGUAUUUCGGUAUGUAAAGCUCUAUCAGCAGGGAAGAUAAUGACGGUACCUGACUAAGAAGCACCGGCUAAAUACGUGCCAGCAGCCGCGGUAAUACGUAUGGUGCAAGCGUUAUCCGGAUUUACUGGGUGUAAAGGGAGCGUAGGCGGUUUUACAAGUCUGAUGUGAAAGCCCGGGGCUCAACUCCGGUAUUGCAUUGGAAACUGUAGAACUAGAGUGUCGGAGGGGUAAGUGGAAUUCCUAGUGUAGCGGUGAAAUGCGUAGAUAUUAGGAGGAACACCAGUGGCGAAGGCGGCUUACUGGACGAUUACUGACGCUGAGGCUCGAAAGCGUGGGGAGCAAACAGGAUUAGAUACCCUGGUA